rnacentral:rRNA from 1 species
UGACCGAGCACGCCGCGUGAGUGAAGAAGGUUUUCGGAUCGUAAAGCUCUGUUGUUAGAGAAGAACGUGUGUGAGAGUGGAAAGUUCACACAGUGACGGUAACUAACCAGAAAGGGACGGCUAACUACGUGCCAGCAGCCGCGGUAAU